CGAAGGACCUUUGUUUGUUGAUGGAUUCAUUCAUUCAUCAAGUGCCUCUUGCAAGUUGGUUAUGUGGUAGGUACCUGGGCGCUCACCAGGGAUGGGUCCAAAAGAAGCAGAUACCAUGUCAGUUAAAAUGUCAGAUGUCGCCUGCUGAGUGGUCAGCAGGCAUAAGCCUUUUGAACGAUUGUGAAAAAGGGCUCCUCAAGAAUCAUUUGUUGACAAAAGACUCUUAGGCCCAAAAGAUUCAUUUGAAACUUUGUAUCUGAUAGCUAGGUGUCAGAUGCAGCCAACAUGCUUCUGGAACUCACUGAUAGUUCACUGGGCACCCAGAGGCACCAGAGAGGUGCAGGGAUGAUGGAGACAUAGCCCCAACUUCCAUCAGCACGUGGGUGGUUUGGGAAGAAGAAAGACCAGAGCCCGCCCAGUCUGCCCACAGCCAGUGCCUAGACCUCUUCGGGGACUUCUGGAACCCCCCCAUCUGCUUGAUAAUUGAGGUCUGAUUGUUCUUUGCUGGAGACCAAAGUCUCAGCCCAGGAUCUUACCUUUUGCACCGGACAGAGGCCAAAUGACACCCACUCAUUUCCAGAAAUGCACCUCUUAUCUACUUUCCUGUGAAGACAGCUGUCAGCUCAGCUGGAGUCUCGUCCCGUCACCCAGGCAGGAGUACAGUGGUGUGAUCAUAGCUCACUGCAGCCUCAACCUCCUGGACUCAAGUGAUCCUCCUACCUCAGCCUCCCGAUUAGCUGGGACCACAGACGUUAGCCACUAUUCCCAGCUACUUUUCACAAAACUUUCGUAGAGACAAGGUCUCACUACGUUGGUUAAGCUGGUCUGGAACUCCCGAACUCAGGCAAUCUACCCGCCUUGGCCUCCCAGAGUGACCCUUCCAGGACUGUCAGCAAGAGCUGCCGCCCAGCC
rnacentral:lncRNA from 13 species